rnacentral:rRNA from 1 species
UACGGCGGUGGCAAGCGUUGCUCGGAAUCACUGGGCGUAAAGGGCGCGUAGGCGGGGAGGUAAGUCGGGUGUGAAAUCCCUCGGCCCAACCGAGGAACUGCGCCCGAGACUGCUUCUCUUGAGUCCCGGAGAGGAAGGUGGAAUUCCCGGUGUAGCGGUGAAAUGUGUAGAGAUCGGGAGGAACACCGGUGGCGAAGGCGGCCUUCUGGACGGUGACUGACGCUGAGGCGCGAAAGCGUGGGGAGCAAACGGG